AUUGAACGCUGGCGGCAUGCCUACACAUGCAAGUCGAACGGUAACAGGUCUUCGGAUGCUGACGAGUGGCGAACGGGUGAGUAAUACAUCGGAACGUGCCCGAGAGUGGGGGAUAACGAGGCGAAAGCUUUGCUAAUACCGCAUACGAUCUCAGGAUGAAAGCAGGGGACCGCAAGGCCUUGCGCUCACGGAGCGGCCGAUGGCAGAUUAGGUAGUUGGUGGGAUAAAAGCUUACCAAGCCGACGAUCUGUAGCUGGUCUGAGAGGACGACCAGCAACCAGGGGUCUGAGAAACGGCCCAGACACCUACGGAAAGCAGAAGUGUGGAAUUUUGGACAAUGGGCGCAAGCCUGAUCCAGCCAUGCCGCGUGCAGGAUGAAGGCCUUCUGGUUGUAAACUGCUUUUGUACGGAACGAAAAGACUCCUUCUAAUAAAGGGGGUCCAUGACGGUACCGUAAGAAUAAGCACCGGCUAACUACGUGCCAGCCGCCGCGGUAAAAC
rnacentral:rRNA from 1 species